ACGUUAGUUCGUGAGGCGCUGGCUGAGCGGUAACGUCACGGUCACGGGUAACGGUUAAACUUGAGCAGCUGUAACAAUUUCCAACGACAAGCAAAACGUGCGUUGCAAAAAUGUAUUUAAAGCAAUUCAUUUUGCACGAGUAUUAAAACAAGUUAUAAUUUGUCAACACUACGGCUAAACAAAGUACGUGGUGUUAGCCAGUGCUGCAAACUUCUGCGCACAUAAACAAGUGUUGAUUGUGUGCGUGUCGCGCGUAAAAUGUGAAAAGUGAAAGCGAACACUGCGAAUCGCCUUUAAAGUUGAACUAAAGUGUAUUUAAAGUAAAAUAUAAUUUGGAUCAAUAAACCAAAUGCAGGCGCCAAAAAAAGAAAUGUUGAAUUUAUAACACACGCACACAACAGCGAAUAGCGGCGCCCACUUUGCGGCAAAUGUGGCAGAGCGCAAUGCUGUGUGAAAUGUUUAUGUGCGAGAUGUUGUGAGACAAAAAGGACUCGAAAGCAGCUGUUAUUGUUGUUGCCCGAACGGGGUCAAAAGUUCGUGUGUAAGUGAGCCGGACCCCUCCACUGUCUGCCUAAUUUCGCCGCAUCCACUAACUAACAGCACUAAUACUUGUUAAAAGCUCUCAAGUGCAGCUGCCUAUGUGUGUGUGUUUGUGUGUGCGUGUGAGUCUGUAAGUGUGAAAGAGAGGCCAGAGCGAGCUGGCAGAAGACGCUGCCCAGACAAAAGCGUCAGACAAGUGCGCCCAAAUAGCCUACAGAUAUACGCACACAUACAGCUAAACGUGUGAGUCUGCGUGUGUGUGUGUGUGUGUGUUUGAAAGACAAACUAGGCCAAUUCGCGAGCGAGACAAAACCAUAAAGCAAAGUGCAGCAAAAAGUAGCAAACAAAAAAGAAAUAUAACUAAAAACUUCUGCCACAUUUGUCAAUGACUGAGGAGGGCAACGACUCGCGUGUCUUGAGGCAUAACAAUAACCGACUGGCCACCCACCAGCCCACCCCCACCCCCCGCUGGGGCAAACAACUCUCUGUCGUCUAACUGAAGGCAAGCGUCGCGCGUAAAACAGAAGCUGGGCAAUAGAAAAGGCAAACAGCGCACGACUCUGCCCGGAGCCAAAACAGAGUUGCCUUUUGUGCCCGUCUGGCAAUUGGCCAAGUUAAUAAAGAGCAUUAGAGAGAGCGCCGGCAGACACCGAUAAUGACGUUGCUGCAGCAGCAGCUGCUUCUGAUGUUGAUGAUGACGCUGCUAACUUGGUUAUUGCUGCCAGCAUAGAAACUGUCAGGCAAGCAGCCAGACAGUCAGACAGCCGGACAGACAGAGCUAAAACAAAAGCGUUCCCCGUUACGCCCAGCCGACCGCCGCGGCCCCCAGGUUCCGGUCCGGGCCAGGACCAGGCUUACUGCAUUUCCGGUUGUUGUUCCUGCCGCCGCUGUCGCCAACAUCGCCAUGCCACUCCAUAUGGCCCAGAGCAUCUGCGUGGCCUGGCUGCUGCUACUCGCUGUGAUUGUCCUGAGCGAUAUGACAAAUGGCGGCGUGCAUGGACCCAUCGAGGGCUAUAACUCGUUGGAUGAGCUGACUACAAUGCCAGCAGCGCUGGCAACGAUGCCCACCGCCGCCUACACGCAUCCCAAAUGGAUGGAGCCAUAUUUUGAUCCCUCAACACCGCGCAAUGUCACCGCCCUCAUGGGCAAAUCCGCGUAUCUCAGUUGCCGCGUUCGCAAUUUGGCCAACAAAACGGUCUCCUGGAUACGGCAUCGGGACAUACACAUAUUGACAGUGGGCUCCUAUACGUACACGUCCGAUCAGAGGUUUCAGGCCACACAUCAUCAGGACACCGACGACUGGACGCUGCAGAUAAAGUGGGCCCAGAAGCGAGAUGCGGGCAUGUACGAGUGCCAGAUAUCAACGCAGCCCGUUCGCAGUUAUUUUGUACGUCUGAAUGUUGUCGUGCCAACGGCGACCAUACUUGGCGGACCUGACCUUCACGUUGAUAAAGGCAGCACCAUAAAUCUCACUUGCACUGUAAAGUUCAGUCCCGAGCCGCCGGCCUACAUCUUCUGGUACCAUCACGAGGAGGUCAUUAAUUAUGAUUCAUCAAGAGGCGGCGUGUCGGUAAUUACCGAAAAGGGCGAUGUGACAACCUCAUUUCUGCUCAUACAGAAUGCAGAUCUGGCCGAUUCCGGCAAAUACUCGUGCGCCCCCUCGAACGCAGAUGUUGCCAGUGUGCGUGUGCAUGUUCUAAAUGUUCGGGCCAUAAUUUCAGGUGAACAUCCGGAGGCAAUGCAAACUGGCUCAUCCGGUUGCCAGUACAAUUGGCUGACAAUUGUCAUGCUGCUGGGCCUGGUGCUCGGUUACAGUCAGCGGCAGCAGCAACAUUGUGCCACACUCGCCACAUGGGGCACUCGCAGCCGAGACGUCACGCUCGCGGCCAGUGAAAGUGACAUUCGAGGAACAACAACAUCAUCAGCAGCAGCAGCGGCAACAGCAGCUGCGAAACGUGCUGCUGCUGGCGGCGGCCUUGAAGCGUCGACAGCGGUUAACCGCAGCAGCAGCAACAGUCGACAGGCGUGCCACGCCCAUUCCUACGCCCAGGCUAAACGCUGCUGCCACAGAUGAUCGCUCGCAGCCGGACUUAACAACGCGAACUAAGCAGCCACAUGAAAUGUGUGCGCCAAUGUAUCCACAAUGUGCAUCAGAAAUAACAGCUUUAAUUGCGUUUCAUUUGACUUGAUUCGAACUUAUGUUUGUAUACCCUUGUAGAGGAUAUUAUAAAUUUGUUAUGAAAUGUGUAACGCAUAGAAGAAGUCAUCUCCGACACCAUAAAGUGUAUAUAUUCUAGAUUAGCAACAACGGCCGAGCUUAUGUCGCCAUGUUUCUGUUUCGAUGUCUCUCAGUUUUAUGUUCCAUUAUGAUUCUCAUGCAUAUGUGAGGUCUUAUCUACUAUAGGAAAGAUCGGUUGAUCCUAAAGGAUCCCAAAAUAUUCUGUUUUCAACAAGCUCAGCAUUUUCAAGCUGCACUAUUCUCACAUAUCUACAAAGGGAAUAUGUCAUAAAGUGUAUUAAUUCUUCGGCAGGCCGAAGAUAGCCUUUCUUCCAUGUUUUUAAUUAUAUUUGGAUGAGUUUAAUAAAUAUAUUUUUAUGUUUGCCAUUUGAUUCUGUUUGACUGUGAAUUCUAUAAAUUAAUUUAAUUUGAAGCCACUUGAUGUUGGAAUUUGCAUUUGGCACUGGACAAUGCAAAUUGCUAACUCAAUAAAAAUUCUGUUGACACGCCACAUAAAUGCCGCAUACAUUUUAAUCAAUUGCCAUAGAAAAAAAUUCAGAAUUUUUGCUAACUUUUAUUUGUUACACACAAACACAAAUAUAGCUCAAUUAUUGGCUAUAAAGUUAUCAAAAUUGGUAAUGUAAUUGAAAAUAGGUGGCUGAGGCUGUGGCUGCACGUCGUGAUGCAAAUUGAACUACAAUUAAAUUAUAAUUAAAUUUAAUCUAAGGCCACGUUAUAAUUUGCAAUCAAUAUUGUUGCUGCAAUGCAGGCAAAUAUAAUAGCCGUAAUAAUAAUUAUUAUAUUAAUAUUAACGAUAUUAACAAUAACAGUUUGUCCCAUUCCAAUCAACAUAAGUUAAUGUUAGUCACAUAACUAUAGCUGACAUAAGUAUGCAUAUGUCUGCUUGAUUGCAAUAUAAAAUAAGAUUAUAAAAUGAUAUGUUGGCCACAAUAAGGUGCACUACUUUCAUGCAACCUUUGCCUUUGACAUUCGGUUUUACGCGAAAAUCAAAAAACUUCCUUUAUUCUUCAGGUGUAAGGCGCAUAAUUACCCAACAAAACACAAACAACUCACCUAAUCAAUCAAAAUGUAAACUGUUUAUAACCUUUAUAUAUAUACUCUAUAUAUAUAUAUAUACAUACGUAUAGGGUAUAAGUGUAUGGAAUAGCAAAUGCCAGCCAAUUGGUUAUGUUGAAGCCUAAAAAGGUUUGAUAGCAACUAUUUAAACACAGCAUAUUAAUUACACUUUUAUUGUAGGUCAUCAGACAAAAUGAAUUCCUGUACAUUAAAGUUAAUUAGUGCAACUUUUGGAACCUUGAAUGUGCGAGUGUGUGCGAGUGUGUAAGUGUGUGCGUGUGUGCGUGUAAUCCAAAUUAUCCACAUAAGCUGCAUAUUUAAAAUACCAUAUUAUAUUAAAACAACAUCAUGGCAUAGUUAUGCGCUUGAAUAAAGCAAUUGAAAAUUGUAUGAAAGGAAGCUAAACAAAAAUAACGAGUACUUUUAACUGUUGAAUUCAAAUACAAAUAAAUUAAAAGAACAGUUAAUUAAAAGCUAGUCCAAAUAUGUAUUAUAAUAAUAUAGUGUAAUACUAUGUAUAAUUGGACGGUCAAAAUCGAUAACGAAAACAAAAACAAAAACAAAAACAAAUGAGCACACGCGUAAGCAUGACAUAAUAUAGAAGACUUAGCAAAGCAUUACAACAAUAACAGAACUCAUAGAAGCAACAACAAAAACAAAAGCCAUUUGAAAUUGUCGCCAGUAUAAAAGACACAAAAAGAAAAAAACAAAGCAUUUGUCAGUAAAAAACAUAAAUUGAGCGUGUGCACGUCGUGCCACUGCAAAAACAACAUCAACAAAUGCAAAUAUGUACAUUAAAUAGUGCAAAAUGAAACACAA